CAUGUCCGCGCGUUGAAACAACCCCAGUUAAGGGGAACCCCGCUAAAAAACGUGUAUUUUAUCCCUUUGAACGCGGGGUUUGUUGUGAAAACCUGGCAACCCUGUCGCUAAAGCUAAACUGCCUCAGAAGAGCGACUUUCGGAAAGAAGACGGUUGAGCUCAUGUGAUUGUUCUCCUCUCAGCCGUAGAUAAACACACGCAAUGGAAGAAACUUUAGCACGAAAUAAACACGAAUAAACAUCCAAAGGUCGGUUCCCCUGCGUUUCAUACGGUGGGUUUGGGUGGCGAGUGGACGGGACUCUGAUGUGGAGUGGUGCUGUGGAGCUGAGUUCCCACUACUAGACCAGCAACUUCCUGCGCCUCAAGAUGGAUUAGAGCUUCACGCCUCCGGAGAUCAAAGGUGGCUGUGUGAAGGGGGACCCCCAGGGCUGGACCCAUGAGGAGUCAAAGAAGAUGCUCGCAGCCUGGGCGCCUCUGCUCUUCUUAGCCAUGUGGGUGAGAAAUGCCACCAGUGGCCCGCUCUCAUUCAGAAUAGCUGCCAUUCUUGAUGACCCGAUGGAGUGUAGCCGCGGGGAGCGACUGGCCAUCACUCUGGCGAAAGACAGCAUCAACCGUUCCAGCAACCGCUCCACCACAGGCAAGCUGGAGGUGGACAUCUUUGAGCUGCUCCGAGACAGUGAAUACGAGACAGGGGAAACUAUGUGCCAGAUCAUGUCCAAGGGGGUUGUGGCGGUCCUGGGCCCCUCUGCCAGCCCGGCAUCCAACUCCAUCAUCAGUAAUAUCUGCGGUGAGAAAGAGGUGCCGUAUGUGAAGGUGGCUCCGGAGGACAUACUGAAGGUGCAGUUUCCUCGCUUUACCACGCUGGACCUCAGGCCCACUAAUACAGACAUCAGCAUGGCUGUAGCUGGACUGCUAACGUUCUUCAACAGCAGCACGUCAUGUCUCAUAUGUGCUCAGGCCGAUUGCCUAUUAAACCUGGAGGUGUUACUGCGACAGUUUCUCAUCUCCAAGGAAACCCUUUCCGUUCGCAUGCUGGAUGACAGCCAGGAUCCCACCCCCCUUCUCAAGGAGAUCCGCGAUGACAAGACUGCCACCAUUAUAGUGGAUGCCAACGCCACCAUGUCUCACAUUAUUUUGGAAAGGGCCUCAGAGUUGGGGAUGCUGUCAGUGUACUACACCUACAUCCUGACUUCCUUGGAAUUCUCUCAGCUACGAUUGGACGAUUUAGCUGAUCAACGAGUCAACAUCGUCGGUUUUUCAGUCUUCAACAGGACACAUCCUUUCUUUCAGGACUUUGUCCUCAGCCUCAAUCGAUCCUGGCAGGAGAACUGUGAUCAUGCUCCUUUUGCAGGAACACCACUUUCGUCAGCGCUGCUGUUUGAUGCGGUACACACGGUGGUGGCAGCCGUGCAGGAGCUGAACCGUAGCCAGAACGUAGGAGCCACUCAGCUCUCCUGCAAGUCCUCUAAGAUCUGGGAGCACGGCACAAGUCUGAUGAACUACCUGAGGAUGGUAGAGUUGGAAGGUCUAACAGGCCACAUCGAGUUCAACAGCAAAGGCCAGCGCUCGAACUAUGCCCUCCGGAUCAUGCAGAGCAGCAGGGAUGGCCUAAGGCAGAUUGGUCAGUGGCAUUCAGAGCAGGGACUGUCCAUGGAGAGGAAGCUUCCAUCACUUAACGUGACAGACACACUAUUCAACACCACUCUCACCAUAACUACCAUCCUGGAGAAUCCGUACGUAAUGCUAAGAGCCAAUCACCAGGAACUUGAAGGGAACGAGCGCUACGAAGGUUUCUGCGUGGACAUGCUGAAGGAGUUGGCAGAUAUCCUGAAGUUCAAGUACCGCAUUCGUCUAGUUGGGGAUGGUGUGUACGGAGUGUCGGGCACCAAUGGCACCUGGACAGGCAUGGUGGGAGAGCUCAUCAGCAGGAAGGCUGACUUGGCUGUGGCCGGCCUGACCAUCACGGCUGAGAGGGAGAAGGUCAUUGAUUUCUCCAAACCCUUCAUGACUCUGGGGAUCAGCAUCAUGUACCGAGUGCACAUAGGAAGAAGACCGGGGUAUUUCUCCUUUUUGGAUCCGUUCUCUCCUGGGGUUUGGCUUUUCAUGUUGCUGGCGUACCUGGCAGUGAGCUGCGUGCUCUUUCUGGUGGCGAGGCUAACACCUUAUGAAUGGUACAACCCUCACCCUUGCCUGAAGGGGCGCUGUAGCCUGCUUAUUAACCAGUAUUCGCUGGGCAACAGUUUCUGGUUUCCUGUGGGCGGUUUUAUGCAGCAAGGCUCCACCAUCGCCCCCAGAGCCCUGUCCACACGCUGCGUCAGUGGAGUAUGGUGGGCCUUCACCUUGAUCAUCAUCUCUUCCUACACAGCCAACUUGGCGGCCUUUCUCACUGUGCAGAGGAUGGAGGUGCCCAUCGAGUCCGUGGACGAUCUGGCUGACCAAACGGCCAUCGAAUACGGCACCAUGCACGGCGGGUCCACCAUGACCUUUUUCCAGAACUCCCGCUACCAGACGUACCAGCGCAUGUGGAACUUCAUGUACUCCAAGCAGCCCAGCGUGUUCGUGAAGAGCACUGAGGAGGGCAUCGCCCGAGUGCUCAAUUCCAAUUAUGCCUACCUGCUGGAGAGCACCAUGAACGAGUACUACCGCCAGCGCAACUGCAACCUCACCCAGAUCGGAGGCCUGCUGGACACCAAGGGCUAUGGCAUUGGCAUGCCUCUGGGCUCGGUCUACAGAGAUGAGUUUGACCUGGCCAUACUCAAACUACAGGAGGAAAACCGCUUAGAGAUCCUGAAGAGGAAAUGGUGGGAUGGUGGCAAGUGUCCAAAAGAGGAGGAUCAUCGAGCGAAAGGUCUGGGCAUGGAGAACAUCGGUGGGAUCUUCGUGGUGCUUGUGUGUGGUCUUCUGGUGGCCAUCUUCAUGGCGGUGCUGGAGUUUGUGUGGAUGCUGCGUCAUACGCCAGCAACAGAGCUGUCCGUGUGCGAGGAGAUGCUACGAGAGCUGCAGGGCAUCGUGCUGUGUCAGGACAGCCUGCAGUUACGGCGCAGGCGCGGAGCCAGCGUGUUGCGACCGCAGCCUCUGCCCCUGGACGAGCGACGGGCGCGGGCAGCGGCAGCGAGCCUCAGCAACGGCAAGCUGUGCACGGGCACCGGCCUGCCUGAACCCCUCUCCCACAGACUGGCGCAGGAGGCCGCCCUAGUGGCGCGAGGGUGCAGUCACAUUCGCAUCUGCCCGGAGUGCCGGCGCUUCCAGGGCAUUCGAGUGCGCCCGGCCGGCCCUCCAGGAGCAUCGCCCAGCCACAGCGAGGAGAGUAUAGAGUGGGAGAAGGGCACCAACAACAGUGAACACGAAUAACCUCUCGGAUCUGUGGCGGAUAGACGUUAAACGACAGCUUUGCUGGACCCAGGGAUUAUGGGAACGUAGGCUCCAGGGAAGGAGCUAAAAGAGAAGCUGUCCGUGCUGCUCGAUUCGGCCCAGGAGCUGCAUAUGGUUUCUGUACACUGUCCUUACAGCCCUCUGCUUUCGGGGGACACAGCAGAGGGGCUUUGUACUAUGCAGUAUAUUUGUCUUACUGUGCUGUUGAUUUAUUUUUAAAUUAUUCCUCUUUUGUUGUGAUACCACUAUAUUGCUAUUAUCUCCUUCUCACGACACCCGUUUAGUUUGUUUUUUCACACCUCGGACAGCUACAGACUGUCAACCACGCGCAACCUUUUUUAGAGUGCCAAAACACUUUGUAUUAAUUCUGUGCUGUUGCCGUCUCAUUCCGGCCCCUGAAGGAGUAACUAUUAAGAGAACUGAACACAAAAACAACUACGAUCUGUUUUUAUUGAUAGUCAUAUUCUAUUAAAAAGGUUUUUGGGAUGUUUCUGAAUGUUUGAUGUGCAUGUACGAGGGUUUUAGAUGCAACUGAAUGGAGAAGAACAUGGGAAUUCUAUUUUUUCUGGUUAAAGACACACUUUCUAUAUUUUUCUUUUCAUUCUUUUAAGUUUUGAUUCAUUUUGUUGCACUCCUUGGAUAUGAAAAUUGCACAUAGUUGUGGGAAAGUGGAAGAUUAUGCUCCCAUUUAGGAAAUUUGCAUUGGGAAACUAACUAGGAUUUAUGCCAAUUUCUAUUCACCCUUAUUUUUGCCAUUCCUGCAGGGCGCUUGGAGGUGUCAGAUGUGUUCACUUUCAAAAAAACAUCAGGAAAGUGAGAUCUGAGGUGAUUUUGUUCCUGUUGAGGAACAUCUGUACCACUCAAUACAUGAUGAAAUCAACUACAGACAGGGUCACUUCAUCUAGACAUAUCUGUGUGAUGAGACAUUGGAGAUCAUAGGCCUAUAUACAUUCAGGCUUCUGAUGAACAAUGGCAAAGCUGUAUGUGCAGGUGGGUUUUCGCUGGAUACACAGACCUGCAGACAACUCUAUCGGGGCAACUUCAAGAUGUGACACAUUUACUAUGUGGGGCAUGGCAUCAGCUGCACAUCUGCUUUAGAUUCACAGAGGCACAAGCUGGUUUAAAGAGUGUCAACAAACAAGCAAAAACAUUUGGGAGACAAUUACUGCUUGGAGUGACAACUGACUGCUUAGGAAGGUUAAAACAAGUAGUUUCCAAUUAGCAUUUACAAUUUGGGUAAAAGCAAAGAAAUAUUGCCAAAAAUGUACAUGCAGCAAUUAUUCACAUCUGUCACAAGAAUUGUAUCAUCAUGCAAAAGUUAUAAGCUUCUAAUAUCAUUGAAAUGCCAAAUUUGCACUAAUUUAUUCCAUUAUCCAAAGUGAUAGGAGGGUUAAAAAGAUAAAGAAAGUAGUAUCUGGCUUGUCAUGUGACCUCAAAAUGGCUUACUGAGUACACUUUUGUGAUUGCAUUGUUCUUUUCUCUUUACUAAAUACUUUAUUAUAUAUAAAUAUCUGGUUCAGUGAGAACUUACACCCAGUCUCAUGAAAAAAACAUAACUAUUUGAUGAGAUUGCAAUGUAACUCAUACAAGAAUGUGAUUUUUUUUUUAGAAAGAAGUAAGCAUGAAGGUCCAUCUCUACUGUAAAUAUAUGGGGUGUAAGCAUAUUAUAUGAAAACAUACGAAUAAAAUUGAACUAAUUCAUAUGAGUUAGCCACCAAUUCGCCAAAAUGUAACAUUGCCAUGAGACUGUUUUGGAGCUUCUGUGUUUGCCUCAAUCCUGAGUAUUUUCAAACUGAAGAAAUAUCUUCAACAUCUGCAGAUGUCUAUAUCAUGGAAAUCCAUUUACGUUCCAGGGUUCAAAC